UGCCCUAGGGCUAGUGGAAGACUUAAGAUGGCGGCGUUUGCACGGAGUGCAAUCACUGCGUCCUUACGGGGGUUGCAAGGCGUCCGAAGUAUGAGUCCACUAACAAAAGUCCAGAAACUCGCCAGUUAAUAGUAUUGUGGUGAGUGAUGAGCCUCACGUUGGCUAGAGAAGUGGCCGUUAGCGAGGCUACACACUUUGGGAUCGCGUGGCCUGAGUCGGGGGAGUAACCGGCCUGUAUUCCAUUUUUCUCUCUCCAGUCUCUUCAAAAUAUCGGAGAAUAAUUUCUUUCUCGCUGAUCGCCUAACUUCUACUGACGAAGCUUGGAAGUUGCAGAAGGUUGGAGUGCAAUGGCGCGAUCUCGGCUGACUGCAACCUCCACCUCCUGGAUUCAAGCUAUUCUCCUGCCUCAGCCUGCCGAGUAGCUGGGAUUACAGGCAUGUGCCACCGCACCCAGCUAAUUUUGUAUUUUUUAGUAGAGAUGGGGUUUCUCCAUGUUGGUCAGGCUGGUCUUGAACUCCUGACCUCAGGUGAUCCGCCCACCUCA
rnacentral:lncRNA from 1 species